UAAGAGUCAAAAAAAUUUACAAAUAUACGAAAUGUAAAAAACUAUUACUGAAAAUAUGUGACAGAUAGUAGAGAUAAAUAUUCUUGAUCAGGAUCCAUCCGGAAACUAUAAAAGCUAGACGAUUAAUAUUAAGCAUGCAGAUUUCGAUGACCACACCUCAGAAAACGUUUUAGAACACUUCUGGCAUCCCCAUUUAACACAACAGAUGAAAAAUGUUUAGUUAAGUGGUAAGGGCUCGAAAUUUCUUGAACCGGCAUAGUUUCUCCUGCGACUUGAUGCCCGCUUUUCCUCCCGAGCCUGCUGCUCCGUCUGCCAAAUGGCACGGAAAUCCUCGCACUGGGGCGAGUUGGUGUGCUCCUGCUGCAGUGCAGCCAUUUCUGGCUG